rnacentral:rRNA from 1 species
AGUGAACGCUGGCGGUAGGCCUAACACAUGCAAGUCGAACGGCAGCACAGGAGAGCUUGCUCUCUGGGUGGCGAGUGGCGGACGGGUGAGGAAUACAUCGGAAUCUGCUCAGUCGUGGGGGAUAACGUAGGGAAACUUACGCUAAUACCGCAUACGACCUUCGGGUGAAAGAGGGGGCUCGCAAGACCUCUCGUGAUUGGAUGAGCCGAUGUCGGAUUAGCUAGUUGGCGGGGUAAUGGCCCACCAAGGCGACGAUCCGUAGCUGGUCUGAGAGGAUGAUCAGCCACACUGGAACUGAGACACGGUCCAGACUCCUACGGGAGGCAACAGUGGGGAAUAUUGGACGAUGGACGCAAGCCUGAUCCAGCCAUACCGCGUGAGUGAAGAAGGCCUUCUGGUUGUAAAGCCCUUUUGUUGGGAAAGAAAUCUUUCAGGCUAAUACCCUGUGAGGAUGACAGUACCCAAAGAAUAAGCACCGGCUAACUUCGUG